rnacentral:lncRNA from 1 species
CUUACUGGCAAGGCCCUUAUCAGCCAAGGACUCUAGUUAUAAACCUAGGGUGAACCUGCCCAGCCCACAGCAGAUGAUCCAUGAAUGCUCUGUCUCAAGGCCCCAGGCCAGAGUGUCAUUAGUCAGCAUCAGUCCCACUUGGAAAAGUACACAUCUGAGUUGUGAUAGUUGUCGCAUUUAAAAUCUUUGUUUUCCUCCCUGAGACAGAGUUUCUCUGUGUAGCUCUGACUGCCUUGGAACUCAUUCUGUAGGCUAGGCUGGCUCGAACUCAAGAGAUCUGCCUCCCAAGUGCUGGGAUUAAAGAUGUGUGUUACCACUGCCCCAACUAUUUUCAUUUGCUGUUUUGAGACAGGGUCUCUUUCUAUAGGUCUGGCUGCCCUGGAACUCUGUGUAGACCAGGCUAACCUCUGCCUCCCGUGCUGGUGUUAAAGGUGUGUGCCACCAUGACUUUAGGAUUUUUUUAGUUUUAAUUUUUUUCUUUUGGUUUUUCAAGACAGGAUUUCUUUGCUGUCCUAGAACUAGCUCUGUAGACCAGGCUGGCCUAAAACUCACAGAGAUCCACCUGCCUCUGCCUUCUGAGUGCUGGGGUUAAAGGUGUGUGUCACCACACCUUUAGGAUUUUUUUUUUUAAAGGGAAUGCUUUGAAAGAAAAUAGUUUACCACAUAGAUCAGAAAACAAAGUCUUUGAAGGGCAUGUCGUAGUGCAGUGGACAAAACAGAGUGUCACUAAUAUGGCUCCUAAGAACUAACACGUGCAGCAGGCUGAGAAAUAAAGCCUGUGCUGUAUACUGACCUGAGCUUCAGAUCCUCAGCCUAUCGUCCUACCAUCUUCAGGUCCAGAAGGUGGUGCUGAGUUUUGCAGCCUGGAUGGCAUAUCUCCUGGCAUCUCCUCCUUUCUUCUUCUCAGAGCUCUCUCUGCUCGGAAGUCCUGCCUAUACCUCCUGCUUAACUAUUGGUUGUUCGGCUUUUUAUUGCACCAGUUAUAACAAUACCCGUUCACCCAGUGUACAGAUAUCCCUCAACAGAUGUGUUCAAGACCCUCCUAUGGGCUCUGAAGCCUCUGACACAACAGUUAGACCCAUAGAGUGGCUUAAGAGACCCUUCUGCUUUGGGGACCCACACAGAUUCCUCAGUGCCUUCAACAACAUUUUCCACCUGUAGUUAUGAAUAACUAAAUUUUUUUGAUUGGGUCUUCUUUCUUCCUUAACACCAUACUUCUGGAAAGAAAACUCAACAGAGUGACCAGUUUCCCUGAAAUAAGGACCUGAAGGGACAUGUAAAGCCAGGUUGCUCUCAGCCUUGCUUGGCCGCCAAAAGUAGAUCUUGAACUUGGGAUCUUCUGGCCUUAGAAGACGUUGUGGUGCGCACCUGUAACCUUGCAGUGAGGGGCUGAUGCAGGAGGAUGCUGGUCCAAGGCUUUACUUUGAACUACAUGAGACCCUGCCUCACAAAUGGAGGAAGAGAGAAGAGAAGAAAAGAGAGAAGAAAGAGAAAAAAUGGAAGGCUACUUGGGUUAAAAACCAAAGACCCUUUCAGUGAGAUGUGAAGAUAUUAUAGAGAGGCCAAGAGUCUAGACCCUGCACUUGGGACAGUUUACUCUCACUCCUACUACUUAAGGGAAAGAAGCAAAGCAAAAGAGGUCUUCCAUUUGAUGGGAAAUAGACAGCUGGGACCAUGGCUGCCGCAGCCUCCAGGAAGCAACUGUGCAGGGCAGUGCUGUGUUGGAAAGACAGGGCCAGCUAUAGGAGUUGUAAAUGCUUUAAUAGCCACAUUUAAGAAAUGGGUAAAUAAAAAGAUAAACCUAGCAUGAUGGCACACCCUUGUAACCCUAGCACUCAGGAAGUGGAGGCAGGGGGAUCAGGAGUUCAAGGACAGCCUUGGCUGCAUAUCCAUUUAAGGACAGUCAGGGCUACAUGAGACCUUGCCUCAAAACCCCUAAAAAAUAGAAUAAAAUAAACAAUUAAGAAAUAGGUAGGAGGGCUGGAGAGAUGACUCGGUGAUUAAGAUCACUUGCUAUACAGUCAUGAGGACAGGUGGCAGGUACGUGCCUGUCACUCCUGCUCUAGAGGGGUGGAGACGGGAAGAUCCCUUGGGCGUGCUGGCUUCCAGCCUAGCCAUGCUCCAGGUUCAGAGAGGGACCCUAACUCAACAGAAUCAGCAUAGAGUAUAGAGGAGAAGGGACAAGGACCUCUUUUGGCUUCUGGUCAUAGGUGAGCACAUGCAUACAGAUAUGUUCACACAGACAUACACAAAUAAAAAAUAAACUUUUACAACAAAAAUAGGGAAAAUUAACUUUAUUUAAUAAAAACUCCAAAA